UCGUUCGGUGUGACACUUCUCAAUUAAGAUUCUCUCACCACCGCGACCAGCGGCGUCUCUCUCUCUCUUCACUGGAUCGUCUUUUUCCGAUCAAUUUUAAGCACCACUGAUUCCAGCAAUCUAGGUAACCCUGCCUCUUACUCCCCCAUAACUCUGAAUUUAUGCUUAAGAUUAGGGCUUUUCGGAAUUAGGGAAAGUUUACAAGUGUUGUUGCUUCAGCUUUAGGGUUUUCCCCGCAUGAAAUUCUCUCUCUCUCUCUCUCUCUCUCUCUCUCUCUCUCUCUCUCUCUCUCUCAAUAUACAUGUAUGUAUACUCACACACACACACACAUUUGUAGGUUGUUUAGACUGACUGUAUGCAAUUCGUGAAAAUCGGAUUAUUUGUCCAAUUGCUCUCUUUAAGAAUUGGCGUGCCAGUAUUAAAUAGUAUUUCUUAGAGAUUUGCGAAUUUUUCGUCAUAGAAAGGUUAGAACAUUUUUCUCCACAACUUUUGUAAAGUGACUCGAGAUUUCAAGUGGAGGUUUCUAUUUACCUUGUAAUGUCCAAAAUACUGUGAACACAUUGACAUGGGUUGUUGACAGGGAUUCAACAUGUAGUCUGCUGCCAAUGUCCUUGUAUGUGGUUGAUUUAACACCAAUAGCACAUGGCUAUACACAUUUUUGUUGGUAUUAGUGAGUUAUUUUCUUUUGUAGCGGAAAAUAAUUUAGCCAUGCGUCCCUAUUGGAUUCGACAAAAUUAAAGAGGAGAUUUAAUUUCAUUUGUUUAGGUAGAAGUGAACAUUUGAAACUUCACGUUGGAGAGAAUGUCUUUUGCUUCCGUUUUAUCUUUUUAACGAAGAGGGAACCUCUUAAGUCUUUUCUUACUAUGAGUCCUUGCACGCUUUUUGUUGCCUCUAUGAUGGGAGUGAAAAUUCCUUUUUGUUUCUUCCUUUUCAUAGAUAUUCGCCACUCUCUAUGUAGAUUAGUGAUUGUGACGGGGAAAUGGCAAGUCAUCAAUCUGUCUCAAUGCCACCGUGUAAGUUUGAUCACGGGAAUUAGCAUCUCUACAUUAAGAAAAAUGAAAUUGAAAGGUGUAUGCAACCUUCCGUAAAUCCGCAUAACUUCUGCUAUAAAGUAGAAGUCCUGGCUCUAGGCAAGGCCUAUGCACUUCCUGAUGAAAACACGGCCAGUUGAAGAAAGUGUAUCAUAUGCAUGGAAAACAUCAAAAUAAUUUAGGGCUAAGUUCGGAAGAGUAGCAGUGAAUGAUGUUAUGUAUGCUAUCGUAUUUUCCUCUCUCUUUUAAUCAGGGCUAUAGCAUUUUCCUUGGUCUUUGUAUUUUCAACCCUGACACCUUUGUUUUUUGGCUAACUGAGAGAUUUCAUAAAAGAUCAAACAAAAAAGCACACAAGAAGUAAAGCCUUCGAACAAACAAACCUAGAGUCAACAAAGAAGGAUACAUCAACAACAACAAACAGAGAAAAACAAGAAAUCCUAGCAUCUAGGGGGCCAAAGAUACCAUGUUGGAAAGGACGGACUAAGGACUAAGGAGCAGUAGAUUAAACAAUGGAUGAGUGUGCGGCGGGGAUGAAGCUUAUUUCUUCUCUUCUUGGAACAUGAUACCAUGUCUUUCUGGAAGUGGAGGAAUAUCAGAGCUGCAGAUUCUGGUUCUGAAAAGAGUUGCAUGAGUUAGACUUGCUUUUGUUUCUUCAUUCUGAUCCUCAAAGAAUUGUCCUAGUGGAUAUGAAUACCUUACUAGUCAAUCUUGCAUUGAUGAAAAAUUCUGAAUGGAGUGGCUUUUGACAAAAAGUAGAUCUUUUUUCUUGGUGUCUGACUCACCAGCAGCUUGUGCUUCUGUCACCAUAAAAGCAACAUUUAUAAAGUUCUCUCUUCAAUGAAGGUAAUAAUAUCUCAGAGUAGAGUUAUUGGAAGUUUCAGUGAACACAACUUUAGUACUUUAGUACUCCUCUUGAUUAGGAGCAAGGAUUGCUAAGGGGUCAUAAGCUGUUUUCCUUUGCAUGAAAACUUGCCAACGUGGGCCAAAGUGAGCCCGCCAUUCUUUCUGCGUCGUGUAGUGGGGCAAAUAUUGCUUUACUCCAAGGUGGGCUGCCUCACAGAAAUCCAGAAUCCUUUUGUUCUGAGUCAAAAUGUGUUCUAAGCCAUCGGUUCCUGUGGAAGAGGGAACUGCAGAGAUAUCAAAUGCUCCUGGUCUCUGGUAAAUGUGGAGAAGUCCGAGUACAGAACUCUUAUCCAUUUGACCUGUUAAAUAAGAUAAUGUUAUACAAGAGGAUGUUUAUCCACAACUCGCCUCCAUAUGCAUCUACGUAGGGACUUUUUCCUGUGUGAACCCGCAUUUGCUUUUCUAGUCCGCUGAACGAUUCCAUGUUGAUCACCACUCCUCGGUGUGCUUGUGCCUGUCCCUGAAGAGAAUGCCCGUGUCCUCUUGCUGCCACCGUCAGCUCCGAACCUGAACCCAUCUGCCAUACAUGCAUAAUUGUGGUGGCAAUAUCGGAAACGGAUUUUGGGUGUAGAACUGCCAAGGGCAGGAAUUGGUGCCGGUUGCCAAAAUCUCUUGAUGCAUGAUAGUUUUCGUGGAAACUCAAAUGCCCGUCGAGGGAGAGGGUUUGCAAUGAAGGUGUACCCAGGAAACCGAAGUUGAUAUUGAUAGUUAUACAGCUUAAGAUCAAGAUCAUGAAGCUUCUUAGGGAAAGAAUACUAAUAGGCUGGUAUCUCAUUUUUUUUUCCCCUCUUAUGAAAAGAUAGCAGAAGCCCCAAUAUGAAGAACUCCUAGACUUUUGUGAGCUGUUUCUUUGUGAGAAGAAAGGAAAAGCAGAGGUGAAGAGGAGCCCAAGGAAAUGAAGGGGUUGAGGAGGGAAUUUAAAGAGGGAGAUUUUGAGUCAUUGAGUGGUAAAGGUCAACCUAUCUCCAGUGGUAAGAAUCCGUAUGAAGACUGCCUACUUGGGUUGGAGAGUUUUAAGGAUUUUGCUUUUAGUUCUCCUUUAUGGGAUCUUUUGCUUUAUAAGAGAAGCCAUCCCUCACAUAGGCCAAGUUGAAGAGAAAAAGUCACCAGAAAGAAAGAUUUCGCAAAUCUUUUUCCACUUUUUCCCAACAGUUGCAACCACAUUCCACCUCUUCCAACAAAGACAAACAUGUCUCCAAAUAUUUUCUUGGUAUCUAUAUUGAGGACUCUUUUGCCAUUUUAAGAAAAAGUGACUCCGAUGAUAGGUAAAGCCCACAUCUUUGUCUUUCUUGAUAAAUUCCAGUGCAUUUCCUGGAACCCAUUGUAGGUAACAAAGCAAUCAUCGAUCCCGUAUCUACGUCGGGAUCGGAUGAGGGGGACUAGCGGACCGGCUUUGAUUCGUGCGGGUCCAAACGACACGUGAAACUUGAAGAGCUUUGUGGGGGUGAAGAGCUGUGAUUGGUAAUGCUGGGGACCCGGAGAUGAGUACUUGACAGGCCAAGGGAUGUGAAGAUUGGACGCGGAGAUGAGUACUUGAAGAAAAUAGUGAAAGGCUUGUCUUGACUCUUAUCCAGCAAUAGCUGUGAAUGAUUGUGUGUUUAUGUUCAAAUUGCAUAGCUUUAACAAUUGUGCUAUCUCUACAUUUGGCUUUCCAUUUCGAAGUGUUAAUUCUUUCCCUCCACCUCUACUGGAAACAAUGAAAAGCAAAAUUCUAGGGGGUUCUGAUAAUAGUCUGUCUCA